rnacentral:lncRNA from 1 species
AGCUCUCCUUUAGUGAGUACUAGUGAAUGAUUUAGUACAAAUGACAUUAGGAAAUAUUGUGAAAGAAUGAUCUCUAUUUAUAGAAGAGAGUUUCUAGUUUCAUUUUAACAUUGACACGUGUCGUGUUGUGAUUGGCUUCUGAUGUUGACACGUGUCGCGCUAUGAUUGACUUCUGAUGUCGACACGUGUCACGCUUUGAUUGGCCUCCUGGUUGUAGGGAAACUCUUCUGGGUCCUUGAUGGUAUAACGUUGACCGGUGCUCAGUAGUUUCGGGAUUGGUCAAGUAUGGUACAAACAACCGUAUUUCAUACAAAUACACGAAUUUACUUUUGAUCUUUGUAUUUACCGUAGUAGUUACAUUUAUAGGUGAAAUGCAACUCAAGGACCUCCAAAACCUGCAAAGCAAUGUCGAGUCGACGACUCAAUUGUAAGUGGGUCUUUGCUAAAGACCUUUAUGAGAACAACUAAGUUAAACCAAGAAACGAUCAACAAAAGGCUUUUGAAUAUCUAAGUUAGACUUGAUAAACGACAUUAACCUCCCAUUGUGAAAUGUGAUGUCCUUUUGUACUAGUAAAGAUGAACACGAUGAUAGAAUGUAGAGGUGCAUGUGGCAUUAGCUUAUUGGUUAUUGUAUGUGAUAAACUUAAUAUUCAAGAUGUAUCUCCACGUCAACAAUCCAUGACAAAGGACUCCCCAAGUCAGCAUCAACUCCAACAAUCUGAAUUAAUCAACUCAACAGCAUUGUUGGAUAGCAAUCCAACUCUUCAUCAGAUAUAGAGGAAUCACAAUCAUUCCUCAUCUGAAACUUCUUCUCAAACUUCGUUUUUAACGGGAAUUGAACCUAAGACCUCUCACUUACAAGUUAAGAGGAAUACCACUAGAUCGUAAUACUAUACAAUACAACAAAAGAAUGCUAACAACCCAUAUUUAAUGAAAUAAGCACAUAAAUUGGCAUCAGUAACGGAUCACACAUUAGAAUCAUAAGUUCCCUAAUGUUAAAGGUUCAAAUUUUUUAGAUAGAUACAGAAAGGGAAGUGCGCAAGAACAUUUUCAAUUUAUUCAUUAAAGCAUUUCGUCAAACAGUCGGCUUGUUUUCGCUGAACUAUGUUGGGCAAAUGUCAACAAACAUCGACAUAUGUUGAAACAAUCUGAUAAGUGUUAUCUAGAGCAUUUGUUGAAUGCAGUCGACGCAGCCUACCAAAUGUUGUCAAGAUAUGCCUAGCAGAAAACCUACAUGAAAUGUUGGGUAAAUUACCAAUUUAGUCAAUGAAUUGUCACCUGAGUGAAAAUUAGGUCUCUGAACUAUCUUUUUUUUUAGAAGAAUCAGUCAUUGAAUUAUAAAAAUCUAUUAAUUACAUCCCUAAUAUUAGAUUCGAAGCUACUAUAUUCAAUUUUCUGUUAAUUUAAGUUACUUUACUUGCAUGUGAUAUACAUUGGAUGAUAGAUUGGUAAUUUUUCAUAAAGAAAUAGUGUAUAGAGUUAACUUUGAAAGGUAGAUUAGAUGUUAGAUUCCCAACCUAUAUGAAAUGUUAAGGGCUUAUAGGCGAGAAAAUGACGGUAUUACACUCUAAAAUGUGUCAAGUGACUUAAGUUGAUGAAAAAAUGGAUAAAAUAGCUUUGAAUAUGAUGGUAAAUAUGAAAUUAGUAAUUUUUAAUGAAUUUAGGGAUUUAUUUUAUCAAAAAAUAAUUCAAGAACCUAAUUUUCACUGAGGUGAUAGUUUAGGGGCUGAAUUGACACUUCACCCAAAUGUUUGGACAGUGUGCAAAAGACCUUCACAGUAUUUUUCGGCUUUCCAGCGACCUUGAGACCACUUGAUCCUAUGUAUAUCCCCUUUUGGCAUGACAUAUAACACCUUAGAGCAUUUCUAGCGUGCCCUAAUUCCCUUGGGAAUUGGCUGUUUAAUGACCCAAUGCCCCAACACUUGGCUCCAACCCAUUCAAAUAGCUUAGGCUCUAGGUGAGCUCGGGCUCUAGGUGAGCUCGGGCUCUCCACCAGGCAUAAAUCCACGCCCUUACACCUAAGGG